GCAUUUUGAUCAAUUGAACAAGAAAUAUCAACCAUAUAUAAACAGGCAAAGUACCCAAUUUCCUUAUUCUAUCAAUUUAACAAAUAUCAACCAAAGAUUUCCCUGGAGCACAAAAUCCAGAGAAGCACCAAGAACAAAAGAACUAACAAAAAUGACAGGCAAAUUACAAGAGGAUUUUCUAAUUUUUUACAUCAUCUGUCAGUUGAUUGUGAAAAUGAAGCCUAGAUGAGGGCUUGGAUACCAAG
rnacentral:misc_RNA from 1 species